AGCUGCGCGUUGAGCACAUAGCGAACUAUUCUUUCGCCUUUUACUAAAGAAUACCGUGUGCUCGUUGCCUAUAAGCGUGGCAUACGCAAUUUUUUGGAGGGUGUUUUAUUUAUAAUAAAAC